AGGCUUUUAUGCUGCACUAUAAAGGCAAACCUGAGCACUGGAUUGGCCUCCGGAGGGAGCAGGAUCUGGGCCAGCCCUGGAAAUGGGCCAACGGCAGUGAAUUCUACCGCUGAUUUGCAGUGAGGAUGGCAGAGGACUGUGCUUAAUCAGACUGAGGCAGCCAUGUGAUUUGUAAAGUGCUACACAGACAAAAAAUGGAUCUGGGGAAAACCAGCUGAAGACAUGAAAAGAAAGGAACAUGCAAAGCUCAGGAGAAUGGCAGAAGCCAGAGAAGACUCCUAGAUUUCAAGGCCAGAUCAUCUCAUCUGACCUCCUGCAUAAGGCCAAAGUAACACCCACUGAUUCCUGCAUCAAUCUCAAUAAGCCGCAUCUGCUUAGAUCACAUGCUGUGCAGCCCUCCGGAGAAUGGUUUGGGUGGAAGAAUGUUCAAAAUGGCGCCUUUCUGAGAGGUGGCCAAAUGGAACGAAGGUUUCCAGCAGUGACAUUGGGGCUUUACACCUUUUAGUUUUCACACUGUUCCUGAGAGCCAAGAGUGUCUGCUCGCACACAAUCAGGGGCGGCCCUAUGUUUUCUGCUGCCCCAUGCAUGACAGUCAGGCAGCCUUCGGCAGGUCAUGCGGAUUCGGCAGUGUUUCUGCGGGUGAUCUGCCGGUCUUGUACCUUCGGCAUACCUGCCACCGAAUUACCACCAAAGCCACAGGACUGGCAGGCCUCCCGCAGGCAUGCUGCCGAAGACUGCCUGUCUGCUGCUCUCACAGCAACCGGCAGGCCACCCCCCGCGGCUUGCCGCCCCAGGCACGGGCUUGCUGCGCUGGUGCCUGGAGCCGCCCCUGCACGCGAUGCCCAGGAGGCAGCCAGCUCCUCAUGAAAUCAGACCCAGCUCCUGAGGAACAGUGACUGGAUCUUCCUUGGAAAAGGGGUUUGUCGGAGGCUUUAGAAUUCUUUAAUUAGCAAAUGUGUUUUUCUUUUAGAAAAUAAACAAGGACACUUGCUAUUUCAGUUACGCAAGUGCAGCUCA